rnacentral:rRNA from 1 species
UGGGGAAUAUUGCACAAUGGGGGAAACCCUGAUGCAGCGACGCCGCGUGAACGAAGAAGGUAUUCGUAUCGUAAAGUUCUGUCCUAUGGGAAGAUAAUGACAGUACCAUAGAAGAAAGCUCCGGCUAAAUACGUGCCAGCAGCCGCGGUAAUACGUAUGGAGCGAGCGUUGUCCGGAAUUAUUGGGCGUAAAGGGUACGCAGGCGGUUUAAUAAGUCGAAUGUUAAAGAUCGGGGCUCAACCCCGGAAAGCAUUGGAAACUGGUUAACCUGAGUAGUGGAGAAGAAAGUGGAAUUCCUAGUGUAGUGGUGAAAUACGUAGAUAUUAGGAGGAAUACCAGUAGCGAAGGCGACGUUCUGGACACAAACUGACGCUGAGGUACGAAAGCGUGGGGAGCAAACAGG